rnacentral:rRNA from 1 species
UAGGGAAUCUUCGGCAAUGGACGAAAGUCUGACCGAGCAACGCCGCGUGAGUGAAGAAGGUUUUCGGAUCGUAAAACUCUGUUGUUAGAGAAGAACAAGGACGUUAGUAACUGAACGUCCCCUGACGGUAUCUAACCAGAAAGCCACGGCUAACUACGUGCCAGCAGCCGCGGUAAUACGUAGGUGGCAAGCGUUGUCCGGAUUUAUUGGGCGUAAAGCGAGCGCAGGCGGUUUCUUAAGUCUGAUGUGAAAGCCCCCGGCUCAACCGGGGAGGGUCAUUGGAAACUGGGUGACUUGAGUGCAGAAGAGGAUAGUGGAAUUCCAGGUGUAGCGGUGAAAUGCGUAGAUAUAUGGAGGAACACCGGUGGCGAAGGCGGCUCUCUGGUCUGUAACUGACGCUGAGGCUCGAAAGCGUGGGGAGCAAACAGG